GACGAACCGUGCGAACGUUGUUCGGAAUCACUGGGCUUAAAGGGCGCGUAGGCGGGCUAUCAAGUCCGGGGUGAAAUCCUCCAGCUCAACUGGAGAACGGCCUCGGAUACUGAUGGUCUCGAGGGGGAUAGGGGCACACGGAACGUGUGGGUGGAGCGGUGAAAUGCGUUGAUAUCCAUAGGAACUCCGGUGGCGAAAGCGGUGUGCUGGAUCCCUUCUGACGCUGAGGCGCGAAAGCCAGGGGAGCGAACGGG
rnacentral:rRNA from 1 species